CAGGGAUUGCCCUAGUAACGGCGAGUGAAGCGGCAACAGCUCAAAUUUGAAAUCUGGCUUCGGCCCGAGUUGUAAUUUGUAGAGGAAGCAUUAGUCGCGGCACAUUCUGAGUCCCCUGGAACGGGGCGCCAUAGAGGGUGAGAGCCCCGUAUAGUUUGAUGCCUAGCCUGUGUAAAGCUCCUUCGACGAGUCGAGUAGUUUGGGAAUGCUGCUCAAAAUGGGAGGUAAAUUUCUUCUAAAGCUAAAUAUUGGCCAGAGACCGAUAGCGCACAAGUAGAGUGAUCGAAAGAUGAAAAGCACUUUGAAAAGAGGGUUAAAUAGCACGUGAAAUUGUUGAAAGGGAAGCGCUUGUGACCAGACUUGCGCCGGGCGGAUCAUCCGGUGUUCUCACCGGUGCACUCCGCCCGGCUCAGGCCAGCAUCGGUUCUCGCGGGGGGAUAAAGGUCCUGGGAACGUAGCUCCUCCGGGAGUGUUAUAGCCCAGGGCGUAAUGCCCUCGCGGGGACCGAGGUUCGCGCAUCUGCAAGGAUGCUGGCGUAAUGGUCAUCAGCGACCCGUCUUGAAACACGGACCAAGGAGUCAAGGUUUUGCGCGAGUGUUUGGGUGUUAAACCCGCACGCGUAAUGAAAGUGAACGUAGGUGAGAGCUUCGGCGCAUCAUCGACCGAUCCUGAUGUAUUCGGAUGGAUUUGAGUAAGAGCGUUAAGCCUUGGACCCGAAAGAUGGUGAACUAUGCUUGGAUAGGGUGAAGCCAGAGGAAACUCUGGUGGAGGCUCGCAGCGGUUCUGACGUGCAAAUCGAUCGUCAAAUCUGAGCAUGGGGGCGAAAGACUAAUCGAACCAUCAGCG
rnacentral:rRNA from 1 species